ACCCGACGCGGAGCUCCUCGAGAAUGGCGAGGAGGUCGUAGGCGUAGCCUUCGAGGGUGGAGUAGCGCUCGAAGUCGAAGUAUUCAGGGUUGGUGGUUCCAGCGCCCAUGUUGUCGUACAUAAUGACGCGGUAGUCGUCGACGAGGUGGGGGACGAGGUGCUUCCAGACCGACUGAUCGGUGCCGAAGCCGUGGGCCAGGACUAGGACUUGCUGACCCGACCCUAAGACGCGCACGUUGUGAGCUUCUUCCACUAUUCCCAUUGCGGCUCUCUGUCUCUUCUUCCGCUUUCUGUUGCUUGAUUGUUGGUUAGUUUGGCUGACAGGUCCCAACUGGCACCACAUAUAAGAACCCUGGUGAUAAGAUCAGUGGGGGGAGUACUAAUCAGCUACUGCUGGUGUACUGGAGCUUUCUGUGUGUUCUAUUGACUGUUUUCACCCGAGUCUUUUGACAAAACUCCUAAGCUAUUGGGCAAUCCAAUCCCCCAACCCCCAAAAAUGGUUCAUCCCUUCCUAAUAGCCUGGGCUCCAGGGGAGCUCGACACAGCCCCCAGUCCCUAAUCGCCUGGCCUGUGACUAGGUGGAGUAUCGUUAAGCCGACGUCACGGUAACGUCAAGCUGACAUCACGGUGGCAUCAACCAUGAUUUUGAUUAUUUUGCCCCAAGCGUGUGCAAUUCACUGCAAGUAAGGGCGCCUCCCUCGACAGGAUUUCAAGGGUGGGCCCACAUGCAGGUGCACUAAGUGGCUCCGAAUUAGGGGCUAAGUGGCUCUUCCUCAACAAUUGGAUUUUCAACGGCUAUAUUUUGGGCCCAACGGCUAGACGACUUAAACACUCUGGACCAUUGGAUUUUAUUUUAUUUUUGUAAUCCAAUGGUCCAGAUUAAUUAAGUUAAUAAAAUUAUAACAAAUUAUUAAAAAAUUCAAACAAAAAAAAUUAUUUGGUGUGUUUUUGUAAGUUUAUGUGUUAAAAUAUACCCACAAAGUACUUCCGGAUAAUAACAUGUCGCGUUCUGAGAUUAGUUAAAAAUUCUAUCUGAAAUUAAAAAUAAAAUUAUUUUUUAGUAUGUUUCUUUGCUAUUCUUUUACCUUUCUUGGUCAGAGCGAUGUAGUGGGAGCUGCAAGCUUUACGUGCUCAAUUUUGGCAGAGAACUUUGGCAAAGUUAUCUGUGGUACCCAUGAGCUAGUGUUGCGUGUGGGAAGUGGGUGAUUGAACAAUAAGAUUCAUGUGUUUUCUACUUCCUUCAGAAGUCUUCGACAGAAUGCCCAUAAUUUCCGCAAAGCUGAGUGUGCGUGUGACAGGUGCUGACAAGGCUGGAAAAGUAGGUGCCUCUUCGAUUUCUGAGAUCGGCCCUCGUGGUCUCUGAGGAGCCCAGCUUUUGAGAAAGCGAGCGCCUCUUCGAUUUCUGAGAUCGGCCUUCGUGGUCUUUGAGCAGCCCAACUUUUGAGAAAGCAAACGCCUCUUCGAUUUCUGAGAUCAACCCUCGUGAUCUCUAAGCAGCCCAGCUUUUGAGAAAGCAAACGCCUCUUCGAUUUCUGAGCAGGCGCCUCUUCGAUUUCUGAAGCUUCCGUCGAGUGCAGAUUUUUAUAGGGGCUGGCAUUAAGUUCCAAAGCACACUUGAAUCUCCACCAGUAGAAGCUCCAUUCUUGCACUUCUAAGAUCUUGAUUUGUCCGACCUCUUCUCUCUUCAACACCUUUGAAAAUGUCUGGCCCCUCCGACCGUCGUUUUGACUUGAACCUUGUUGAAGAGGCAGCCCCGCCUUCUCCAGACAACAUAUGGCGCCCAUCCUUCGUCUCCCCUACUGGUCCUCUUACCGUUGGGGAUUCCGUGAUGAAGAAUGAUAUGACCGCUGCGGUGGUGGCCAGGAACCUUCUCACUCCCAAAGAUAACAGACUACUUUCCAAACGGUCUGAUGAGUUAGCUGUUAAGGAUUCGCUGGCUCUCAGUGUUCAGUGUGCAGGUUCUGUGUCUAAUAUGGCCCAACGCCUAUUUGCUCGAACCCGCCAAGUUGAAUCAUUGGCGGCUGAAGUGAUGAGUCUCAAACAGGAGAUUAGAGGGCUCAAGCAUGAGAAUAAACAGUUGCACCGGCUCGCACAUGACUAUGCUACAAACAUGAAGAGGAAGCUUGACCAGAUGAAGGAAACUGAUGGUCAGGUUUUACUUGAUCAUCAGAGAUUUGUGGGUUUGUUCCAAAGGCAUUUAUUGCCUUCGUCUUCUGGGGCUGUACCGCGUAAUGAAGCUCCAAAUGAUCAACCUCUGAUGCCUCCCUCCUUCUAGGGUUCUGUCCAGUACUGAGGCUCCGAAAUGAUCCCCCUCCGGUGCCUUCUCUUUCUGGGGCUCUACCGACUGCUGAGACUUCUCCUAAGCAACCUUUGUGAAGGCUCCCUCUUGUUUGUUUAUUUUGACUCAUGUAUAUGUACAUAUUUGUAGCUUAUCGGGGAUAUCAAUAAAUAAGCUUUCCUUCAUUUCAACGUAUUGUGUUAAAUACACCAAAGCCUUCUUCGCUAAGUUCUUUGAAUUUUCUUUUGUUGAAGCUUGUAUGUUGAAGCUUUCUGAGUGGAGCAGCAUGUAGGUUGGGGUAGUGUUCCUUUAAUUUCCCGAGUGAGGAAAACUUCUCGGUUGGAGACUUGGAAAAUCCAAGUCACUGAGUGGGAUCGGCUAUAUGAAUCUUAGAACGCCAUUGUGCUCGAUCCUGUGUCAUGUCCUUCGUUAGAUCCAAGUACUCUAAGUCUUUUCUUAGAGUCUCUUCCAAAGUUUUCCUAGGUCUUCCUCUACCCCUUCGGCCCUGAACCUCUGUCCCAUAGUCGCAUCUUCUAAUCGGAGCGUCAGUAGGCCUUCUUUGCACAUGUCCAAACCACCGUAACCGAUUUUCUCUCAUCUUUCCUUCAAUUUCGGCUACUCCUACUUUACCCCGGAUAUCCUCAUUCCUAAUCUUAUCCUUUCUCGUGUGCCCACACAUCCAACGAAGCAUCCUCAUCUCCGCUACACCCAUUUUGUGUACGUGUUGAUGCUUUCACCGCCCAACAUUCUGUGCCAUACAGCAUCGCCGGCCUUAUUGCCGUCCUAUAAAAUUUUCCCUUGAGCUUCAGUGGCAUACGGCGGUCACACAACACGCCGGAUGCACUCUUCCACUUCAUCCAUCCAGCUUGUAUUCUAUGGUUGAGAUCUCCAUCUAAUUCUCCGUUCUUUUGCAAGAUAGAUCCUAGGUAACGAAAACGGUCGCUCUUUGGUAUUUCUUGAUCUCCGAUCCUCACCCCUAACUCGUUUUGGCCUCCAUUUGCACUGAACUUGCACUCCAUAUAUUCUGUCUUUGAUCGGCUUAGGCGAAGACCUUUAGAUUCCAACACUUCUCUCCAAAGGUUAAGCUUUGCAUUUACCCCUUCCUGAGUUUCAUCUAUCAACACUAUAUCGUCUGCGAAAAGCAUACACCAAGGAAUAUCAUCUUGAAUAUGUCCUGUUAACUCAUCCAUUACCAACGCAAAAAGGUAAGGACUUAAGGAUGAGCCUUGAUGUAAUCCUACAGUUAUGGGAAAGCUUUCGGUUUGUCCUUCAUGAGUUCUUACGGCAGUCUUUGCUCCUUCAUACAUAUCCUUUAUAGCUUGGAUAUAUGCUACUCGUACUCCUUUCUUCUCUAAAAUCCUCCAAAGAAUGUCUCUUGGGACCCUAUCAUACGCUUUUUCCAAAUCUAUAAAGACCAUGUGUAAAUCCUUUUUCCCAUCUCUAUAUCUUUCCAUCAAUCUUCGUAAGAGAUAGAUUGCCUCCAUGGUUGAGCGCCCUGGCAUGAACCCGAAUUGGUUGUCCGAAACCCGUGUCUCUUGCCUCAAUCUAUGCUCAAUGACUCUCUCCCAGAGCUUCAUUGUAUGACUCAUUAGCUUAAUACCCCUAUAGUUCAUGCAAUUUUGUACGUCGCCCUUAUUCUUGUAGAUAGGCACCAAAGUGCUCGUUCGCCACUCAUUUGGCAUCUUCUUCGUUUUCAAAAUCCUAUUGAAAAGGUCAGUGAGCCAUGUUAUACCUGUCUCUCCCAAAACUUUCCACACUUCGAUUGGUAUAUCGUCUGGGCCUACUUGCUUUUCUAUGCUUCAUCUUCUUCAAAGCUACAACCACUUCUUCCUUCCGGAUUCGACGAUAAAAAGAGUAGUUUCUACACUCUUCUGAGUUACUCAACUCCCCUAAAGAAGCACUCCUUUCAUGUCCUUCAUUGAAAAGAUUAUGAAAAUAACCUUUCCAUCUGUCUUUAACCGCGUUCUCUGUAGCAAGAACCUUUCCAUCCUCAUCCUUGAUGCACCUCACUUGGUUUAGGUCCUUUGUCUUCUUUUCCCUUGCUCUAGCUAGUUUAUAGAUAUCCAACUCUCCUUCUUUGGUAUCUAGUCGCUUAUACAUAUCGUCAUAAGCCGCUAACUUAGCUUCUCUCACAGCUUUCUUCGCCUCUUGCUUCGCUUUUCUAUACCUUUCACCAUUUUCAUCGGUCCUAUCCUUGUAUAAGGCUUUACAACAUUCCUUCUUAGCCUUCACCUUUGUUUGUACCUCCUCAUUCCACCACCAAGAUUCCUUUUGGUGUGGGGCAAAGCCCUUUGGACUCUCCUAAUACCUCUUUUGCUACUUUUCGAAUACAACUAGCCAUGGAAUCCCACAUUUGGCUAGCUUCCCCUCUCUCUAUCCCACACACACUGGGUGAUUACUUUCUCUUUGAAAAUGACUUGUUUUUCUUCUUUUAGAUUCCACCAUCUAGUCCUUGGGCACUUCCAAGUUUUGUUCUUUUGUCUCACUCUUUUGAUAUGUACAUCCAUCACCAACAAGCGAUGUUGAUUAGCCACGCUCUCUCCUGGUAUAACUUUGCAAUCCUUACAAGUUAUACGAUCUCCUUUCCUCAUUAGGAGAAAAUCUAUUUGUGUUUUUGACGACCCACUCUUGUAGGUGAUCACAUGUUCUUCUCUCUUCUUAAAGAAGGUGUUGGCUAAGAAGAGAUCAUAUGCCAUUGCAAAAUCCAAGAUAGCUUCCCCAUCCUCGUUUCUCUCCCCAAAACCAUGGCCACCAUGGAAACCUCCAUAGUUGCCUGUCUCCCUGCCCACGUGUCCAUUUAAAUCUCCUCCUAUAAAUAACUUCUCCGUCUGAGCAAUUCCUUGCACCAAGUCUCCAAGGUCUUCCCAAAAUUUCUCCUUCGAACUCUUAUCCAACCCUACUUGAGGUGCGUACGGAGUCUAUAUUAAUCAAAAAGGUAAAAUUCGAAGAUUUACUUAUUCAACUAGAUGGAUGGAUCCACGUUGAGCAUACAUGUACUAAUUUAACAAAAAAUUUCUCACAUAAAAAACAAACGAAAAAGGUGAAAUUGUAGAAAAUUAGUGACAAUUGACUUAAUUAGGUAAUCAAAUUGAUGGAUUUGCUCGAAUAAAUUUUGAACGGCCUCAGUCUCUACUUUGUUGGAAGUGGCCGAGCUUUAAACUCUCCAAAUCACAAAAAUUAAACUUAUAUCUUAUUGGAGAGGUAAAUUUGGGAUUGUGGGACUGAGUUGAAUUUCAGAAUAUAAUAAUUGACUUUGAUUAGUUCCUAAUUAAAUGGAGUAAUUAGACGACGAUGUAGGUUUACCUAGGGGAGGCGGCGAUCAUGAUUAGCUUGGUGAAGAGGUCGGGUCGGGUGACUGCGGCGAUGGCGCCGACCAUGGCGGAGGAGGAAUGGCCGACGAAGAUGCAUGACUUGACGUGGAGCUCCUCAAGAAUGGCGAGAAGGUCGUAGGUGUAGCCUUCGAGGGUGGAGUAGCGCUCGAAGUCGAAGUAUUCAGGGUUGGUGGUUCCGGCGCCCAUGUUGUCGUACAUAAUGACGCGGUUGUCGUCGACGAGGUGGGGGACGAGGUAUUUCCAGAUGGACUGAUCGGUGCCAAUGCCGUGGGCCAGGACUAGGACUUGCUGACCCGACCCUACGACCCCCACGUUGUAAGCUUCUUCCACUAUUCCCAUUGCGCCUCUCUCUUUCUUCUUGCUCCCUCUGUUACUUGUUGGUUUGGUUGACAAGUAAUAACUGGCACUACAUAUAUAAGAAUCCUGGUGAUAUGAUCAGGGGGGUACUGAUCAGUUACUGUUGGUGUACUGGAGCUUUCUGUAUUUUAUGGAGUUAUAUACACAAGACCAUCGAUUUAGGACAAAUAUAAGAACGCUAGUUGUAGCCUAGGAGAAUUGACAUGAAACAAGGACGUUAACGUGGUGGCGUUUUAAUCUUUUCUUGUGACGUAAGUUAAAAACACUUGAAUUUAUGGCAUUUUAAUCUGUUCAUACUUGAAUUUCUUCAUGGCUAUAAAAAAAUUUGAUGCCCUUCUCUCGUUGAGAAGACCGAUGCUUUUGUUUUUUUUUUUUAUAACCAUUUUUUUACCAAAAAUUCAAAUGUAAAAAAAAUUAAAACACAUAACACCAUGUUAUAAGGUUGACAAACAACGAAUUUAGUGUUCCCAAUUCAUAUUAGUCUACCUUCUGCCAAAGUCAUACCUUUUUUUAUUGACCAUCGUAGACUCAUACUUGAGGAUAGAGUUUGAGAGUCAAAAUCUUAGGUUCGUCUUUCUUAAAUGAAAAAACAAAUUGAUUAAUAUGUUGAAAUAAAAAUGUGGUUGAAGGCAUGAAGAUGGUGAGCUUAAUUGAUUAAUAGGCAGCUGUAUCACUUAAAUAUCGAUUUAUGACCAUUUUAGUUGUAUAACUAAGUUAAGCUACGAGACUAGUCAUAACUAGAUAUUGGAUUAUCAAACUCACUAUAAAUAUGUGUUGUACUUGCACUCGAGUUAGACCCGAGACCUCAUCUAAUAAAGUAAAGAACAACAACCGCUAAAUUCAAAGAUGGUUUGGUGCCGAUAUACAUAUUGAUUAGGCUUGUUUAGACUAAGUUUUGGUGAGUUUGAUUCUUUUAUCGAAGAAUCAUGCACCAUAUAAUCCUUACAACAUAUUGUUCCAAUAGUAUGAGAUGUGAGCUAUAUAUAUUAAUUGUGAGCUAUACCUUUUUUUAGUCAUUCUCUUGUUGGUCAAUUAUUGUAUAUUGAACUAAACAAUUUAAGUUUUGCUCUCUCCAAAAAGCUAUCCCUCUUUCAACCAAACCCUAGCCGUCAACCCCUUCGCUGCUAGCUUCUGGCUAUGGUUGGGGGCUGGCGGCAUCGUCUCCCCUCCCUUUCCUAGCUCUUCCUCCCUUCCUCUUCCCCCUUCUUCCCCAUCUUAACCAUCCUCCACCCCUUGCCAUUCUCGUUUCUUCCAAUCUCCUCAUUCCAACCCCUCAUUCCCGACCUUUCCCUUCCUUCUCUCCUAUCCCUUGCUUCUCUCCCACCAUUUUGGGUGUAUAUAUCCAUGGAUCUAUGCCCUAUACCUUGACCUGGGCCAUGCCCUUUCAAAAUUUUCUUUGAUUUGGCACUUGAUUUCCUAGUGUGGGGUUUAGAUUUGUGCUACAGGUGGGUAGGAUCCCCUCUCGUCAACUCGGUACCAUGGUGGUGUCACCCUUCUCGACGGCUUCGAUGCUCUUAGCUCUAGAGGAUCGGCUUGGCUUGGGAGCUUGGCAUGUAUGUCUUAUUGCGGCUCAGCUCGACUUGUGCGUGGACGCUGGCCUCCCACUGUUUGAAAUUUAUAAGUGGCCUUGGCAUGAGUGCCUCAUUCCCCUUGUUAUGAGUUGUACAUCAGAUCCCUUCUCGGUGUAGUAUAGUUCCUCUCGCCUUUAUGCACCGCAAUGGCUAUGGUGUUUUGGCUAAUUUGGUCUUCGCCUUUGUGCGUUGUGUAUUGUGAGUCUCGUCUGCUAACGAUGACUUUGACGUGGUCUCGCACUUUCACGAUGAGUUUUUGUGUCCUCGCUAUUCAACGAUGACCGUUGUGUCUGCUGGUAUCUCUCUGUUGCAGCUAUCGUUUAUUGUGACAGAUCUGUACUGGUAGUUCUUGUACGUUUGGCGCUUGUGUGGUUGUGUUUGUGGGUAUCUACUAGGGGUUUACUGUUAUUUGUCUAUUUUGUGCAAAUUCAUUCCAGAUCAAUUUACUGAUCACUGGAAUUAUGUACCCAAUGACACUCUAUAAUUGUUUGGUGUUGAUUAAUGAAAGACUAUGCUACUGUUUCUUGUCAAAAAAAAAAAAAAACUAAACAAUUUAAAUCACUAUCAUAGAACUCAAAAUUAUAACUCAGUGUAAAAGACUCUUUAUUCUAUAAAACUAGCACAAAACUCAAUUCUCGGGUCCACUAUGAAACAAUAAUUAUACAUUGUAUGUAUACAUUCUUUCGUAUCAAAGUUCAUACUAGGGGUGGGCACUUGAAACCGAAAACCGCAACCAAAACACGAACCAAAUCGAACCGCACCGAACGGUUUGGUUUUGCGGUUUCAAAACGGUUUCGGUUUGAAACCGAACCGAAUAGGGUAAAAACGGUUUGGUUUCGGUUUCGGCCCCGAAACCGAACCGAAACCGAAACCGCAUACCUGUUUUAAAUCUUAAAUUCUAUUGGUUAUUUUCAUUGAGUCCAUACAUUUAGUAUAGACUCAACCACAUCAUAACAUAACCCUUUAUUUUCUUUCUUCAAGUCCGUGCGUAGACUGCUCUUUUUUUCUCAACUUCAUCUUUAUUCAUCUCUCUCGGUCUCCACUCUGCGACUCUGCUGCACUCCAGACGCUCUCUCUCUCGGUCUCCCCUCUGGCCUCCUUUCCUCUUCAUUCCAGGCUUUCCAGCUCCUAGCUUCUAAAUUUCAAAGGUGCUAAUAUGGUAAGAACUAUGAUUUAUAACUUUUUUUAGUUAAAUUUACUUAUAGAUUUGAGAUUAAUUUUAGGGUUAGGUUUAGGGUUGGGUUUUGAAUCAAAAGGGGAUUUGGUUUUUCGUUGGUUAGUAUUUGAUUUUUCUUCGUUCAUGAACAUUAGAAUGUCAAUUGAAAGCAUACAUUUGCAUAUUGGUGACAUGGGAAUAAUGGGUAGAUAGGUUCCCGUUUCUGCCGAAUCUGCCCAGUAUAAUUUAUUAAUUUCAGUAAAUUUUUACACAAAAAAUUUAAUGUGCAAUUGUGCUGCGUGCGUGCAUACAUUAAUUUAGUUUUGAGAGAAGGGGGAGAGAGGUUUUGUGGCAGGGUUGGGAACGGUGGGGGUGGUGACUACCGGAGGUGAGAGAGACGCCGUGGCUUGGCUCUCUGGCUUUGUUGGGUACAUUGAUAAAGAUCAAAGAGGUUGGCCCCAUAGUCUUCAUACAUUCAAAUCCAAAAAAGUAAUGCUAGUGGAUGGCUAGCAGUGCUUACUGCAUUAGCGAACCCUUUUCCAUAUAGGGUUUAUGAUAGUUAAUUCUUUUUGGUUGAGCUUUAGUUUGAAGAAUUCGUGGUUCAAAAAAGUUAUAAUGCUAUGCUUUUGAUAUGACCUAAUCAAACAAAGAUAAAAUAUGAGUUUGAAGUCAUUUUAUCUCUCGUGAUUAUUAUACCUAUAGGAGUUUGAAGUCAUUUUAUCAAGUAUUCAAAUAUAUGAUGAGUUGUUCUCGGUUCUCCAAUUCCUUUUAACAAAGGAAAAUACUUAUAUGUCCGUUUGGGGUUAUUUUAUUGACUUACAGAUUAAUAAAAUACUUAUAUGGUGAAAGGUAUAGAAAAGCGAAGCAAGAGGCGAAGAAAGCUGUGAGAGAAGCUAAGUUAGCGGCUUAUGACGAUAUGUAUAAACGACUAGAUACCAAAGAAGGAGAGUUGGAUAUCUAUAAACUAGCUAGAGCAAGGGAAAAGAAGACAAGGGACCUAAACCAAGUGAGGUGCAUCAAGGAUGAGGAUGGAAAGGUUCUUGCUACAGAGAACGCGGUUAAAGACAGAUGGAAAUGCUAUUUUCAUAAUCUUUUCAAUGAAGGACAUGAAAGGAGUGCUUCUUUAGGGGAGUUGAGUAACUCAGAAGAGUGUAGAAACUACUCUUUUUAUCGUAGAAUCCGGAAGGAAGAAGUGGUUGUAGCUUUGAAGAAGAUGAAGCAUAGAAAAGCAGUAGGCCCAGACGAUAUACCAAUCGAAGUGUGGAAAGUUUUGGGAGAGACAGGUAUAACAUGGCUCACUGACCUUUUCAAUAGGAUUUUGAAAACGAAGAAGAUGCCAAAUGAGUGGCGAACGAGCACUUUGGUGCCUAUCUACAAGAAUAAGGGCGACGUACAAAAUUGCAUGAACUAUAGGGGUAUUAAGCUAAUGAGUCAUACAAUGAAGCUCUGGGAGAGAGUCAUUGAGCAUAGAUUGAGGCAAGAGACACGGGUUUCGGACAACCAAUUCGGGUUCAUGCCAGGGCGCUCAACCAUGGAGGCAAUCUAUCUCUUACGAAGAUUGAUGGAAAGAUAUAGAGAUGGGAAAAAGGAUUUACACAUGGUCUUUAUAGAUUUGGAAAAAGCGUAUGAUAGGGUCCCAAGAGACAUUCUUUGGAGGAUUUUAGAGAAGAAAGGAGUACGAGUAGCAUAUAUCCAAGCUAUAAAGGAUAUGUAUGAAGGAGCAAAGACUGCCGUAAGAACUCAUGAAGGACAAACCGAAAGCUUUCCCAUAACUGUAGGAUUACAUCAAGGCUCAUCCUUAAGUCCUUACCUUUUUGCGUUGGUAAUGGAUGAGUUAACAGGACAUAUUCAAGAUGAUAUUCCUUGGUGUAUGCUUUUCGCAGACGAUAUAGUGUUGAUAGAUGAAACUCAGGAAGGGGUAAAUGCAAAGCUUAACCUUUGGAGAGAAGUGUUGGAAUCUAAAGGUCUUCGCCUAAGCCGAUCAAAGACAGAAUAUAUGGAGUGCAAGUUCAGUGCAAAUGGAGGCCAAAACGAGUUAGGGGUGAGGAUCGGAGAUCAAGAAAUACCAAAGAGCGACCGUUUUCGUUACCUAGGAUCUAUCUUGCAAAAGAACGGAGAAUUAGAUGGAGAUCUCAACCAUAGAAUACAAGCUGGAUGGAUGAAGUGGAAGAGUGCAUCCGGCGUGUUGUGUGACCGCCGUAUGCCACUGAAGCUCAAGGGAAAAUUUUAUAGGACGGCAAUAAGGCCGGCGAUGCUGUAUGGCACAGAAUGUUGGGCGGUGAAGCAUCAACACGUACACAAAAUGGGUGUAGCGGAGAUGAGGAUGCUUCGUUGGAUGUGUGGGCACACGAGAAAGGAUAAGAUUAGGAAUGAGGAUAUCCGGGGUAAAGUAGGAGUAGCCGAAAUUGAAGGAAAGAUGAGAGAAAAUCGGUUACGGUGGUUUGGACAUGUGCAAAGAAGGCCUACUGACGCUCCGAUUAGAAGAUGCGACUAUGGACAGAGGUUCAGGGCCGAAGGGGUAGAGGAAGACCUAGGAAAAUUUUGGAAGAGACUCUAAGAAAAGACUUAGAGUACUUGGAUCUAACGAAGGAAAUGACACAGGACAGAGCACAAUGGCGUUCUAAGAUUCAUAUAGCCGAUCCCACUCAGUGACUUGGAUUUUCCAAGUCUCCAACCGAGAAGUUUUCCUCACUCGGGAAAUUAAGGGAACACUACCUCAACCUACAUGCUCCACUCACAAAGCUUCAACAAAAGAAAAUUCAAAGAACUUAGCGAAGAAGGCUUUGGUGUAUUUAACACAAUACGUUGAAAUGAAGGAAAGCUUAUUUAUUGAUAUCCCCGAUAAGCUACAAAUAUGUACAUAUACAUGAGUCAAAAUAAACAAACAAGAGGGAGCCUUCACAAAGGUUGCUUAGGAGAAGUCUCAGCAGUCGGUAGAGCCCCAGAAAGAGAAGGCACCGGAGGGGGAUCAUUCGGAGCCUCAGUACUGGACAGAACCCUAGAAGGAGGAGGCAUCAGAGGUUGAUCAUUUGGAGCUUCAUUACGCGGUACAGCCCCAGAAGACGAAGGCAAUAAAUGCCUUUGGAACAAACCCACAAAUCUCUGAUGAUCAAGUAAAACCUGACCAUCAGAUUUCCUUCAUCUGGUCAAGCUUCCUCUUCAUGUUUGUAGCAUAGUCAUGUGCGAGCCGGUGCAACUGUUUAUUCUCAUGCUUGAGCCCUCUAAUCUCCUGUUUGAGACUCAUCACUUCAGCCGCCAAUGAUUCAACUUGGCGGGUUCGAGCAAAUAGGCGUUGGGCCAUAUUAGACACAGAACCUGCACACUGAACACUGAGAGCCAGAGAAUCCUUAACAGCUAACUCAUCAGACCGUUUGGAAAGUAGUCUGUUAUCUUUGGGAGUGAGAAGGUUCCUGGCCACCACCGCAGCGGUCAUAUCAUUCUUCAUCACGGAAUCCCCAACGGUAAGAGGACCAGUAGGGGAGACGAAGGAUGGGCGCCAUAUGUUGUCUGGAGAAGGCGGGGCUGCCUCUUCAACAAGGUUCAAGUCAAAACGACGGUCGGAGGGGCCAGACAUUUUCAAAGGUGUUGAAGAGAGAAGAGGUCGGACAAAUCAAGAUCUUAGAAGUGCAAGAAUGGAGCUUCUACUGGUGGAGAUUCAAGUGUGCUUUGGAACUUAAUGCCAGCCCCUAUAAAAAUCUGCACUCGACGAAGCUUCAGAAAUCGAAGAGGCGCCUGCUCAGAAAUCGAAGAGGCGUUUGCUUUCUCAAAAGCUGGCUGCUGCUUAGAGACCACGAGGGUCGAUCUCAGAAAUCGAAGAGGCGUUUGCUUUCUCAAAAGCUUGGGCUGCUCAAAGACCACGAAGGCCGAUCUCAGAAAUCGAAGAGGCGCUCGCUUUCUCAAAAGCUGGGCUGCUCAGAGACCACGAGGGCCGAUCUCAGAAAUCGAAGAGGCACCUACUUUUCCAGCCUUGUCAGCACCUGUCACACGCACACUCAGCUUUGCGGAAAUUAUGGGCAUUCUGUCGAAGAUUUCUGGGAAGUAGAAAGCACAUGAAUCUUACUGUUCAAUCACCCACUUCCCACACGCAACAAUAGCUCAUGGGUACCACAGAUAACUUUGCCAAAGUUCUCUGACCAAAGUUGAGACACGUGAAGCUUGCAGCUCCCACUACAUCGCUCUGACCAAGAAGGGUAAAAGAAUAGCAAAGAAACAGCACACUAACAAAGUUUAGACACAUAAAUUUUGAAGGUCUAGCUACCAUAUUAUUACCCACAAGGGUAAAGGAACAGUACCACUGCUGGAUAAUUGGAAAGUCCCGGUGUGUCAACCUCUGUGCUUCGUGGCAAGGUAGACUAGCAAACAUGCCCAACCUUUACUCACAUUCGAGAAAACACUCCCAACAAGAUUGCUUGCUCCAAAAUCGAAGAGGCACCGCCCUCCGAAUCUCGAGAGCCAGACUCCCAACAUGAUUACUUUCUCAAAAAAUCGAAGAGAGGGUAAAGGAACAGUACCAUCUGCUGGAUAAUUGGAAAGUCCCUGUGUGUCAACCUCUGUGCUUCGUGGCAAGGUAGACUAGCAAACAUGCCCAACCUUUACUCACAUUCGAGAAAACACUCCCAACAAGAUUGCUUGCUCCAAAAUCGAAGAGGCACCGCCCUCCGAAUCUCGAGAGCCAGACUCCCAACAUGAUUACUUUCUCAAAAAUCGAAGAGAGGGUAAAGGAACAGUACCACUGCUGGAUAAUUGGAAAGUCCCUGUGUGUCAACCUCUGUGCUUCGUGGCAAGGUAGACUAGCAAACAUGCCCAACCUUUACUCACAUUCGAGAAAACACUCCCAACAAGAUUGCUUGCUCCAAAAUCGAAGAGGCACCGCCCUCCGAAUCUCGAGAGCCAGACUCCCAACAUGAUUACUUUCUCAAAAAUCGAAGAGACACCGCUCUCCGAAUCUCGAGAGCCAGACCCCCAGCAUGAUUGCUUUCUCAAAAAUCGAAGAGGCAUCGUUCUCCGAAUCUCGAGAGCCAGAUCCCCGACAGGAUUGCUUGUUCAAAAACCGAAGAGGCACCACUUUCCCAACUUCAAGAGCUGGAUCUCCUUGGAUAAAGCUUGUCUGUAAUCUUCACACGCAACAUCAGCUUUCCAGAUACCACAGACCACUUUUUCAAAGUGCUCUGACAGAGUUAAAACAUGUGAAGCUGGCAGCUCCCACUACCGUGCUAUGACCAAGCAGGGUAAAGGAAUAGCAUUACUACUUGUUGUUAGGGAGACUCCUAUAUAUGUCGACCUCCAUCCCCAACGGACAGGCAGACCUGCAAAAAUGCUCAACCCUUCCUCAUAUCUGAGAGGGCACUCCCAACGAAGCCUUUCGAAAUAUUCAGCUUUCUUUCCCCCCGAUAAUACCUCUGCAAACAAGCUAUACUAGAGCAAGAAUAUCUCAUAUCAUCAGGGUUAAAAGCAAGAGUAUCCCAUAUCAUGCUUUUUCCCUGUCUUUUCCUUUGGCCUUGUUCUUACCUGCAAGACAAGGAGAAAGAGAGCAAUCAGUCAGCACUUGGAAUCAAGCUUCCAGCCAGGAACUGACUGCCUGGAACCCCUUACCUGAUUACUUACCUGGCAUUGCUCUCGAGUACUCAUCUUCAACAUCUUAUGCUUCCAGGGAAGAUACCGCAUCUGCUUGAGGAACAGAUAGGGCAAGUGAGAAGGAUACAAGGAAGCAUGUGGAGACAAGCGUAACAGCACACGUGCCGAUACAUCCAUUACUCUGUCAAAAGCAAAAGUAUCCCAUAUCAGCAGGGUCGAACGUACUCUAGAUUUGAUGGACUUGUUUUGACCCUCAAAUUCUUCAGUCGGCCUUAUACUCUGGAGGAAACCAGAAAACCCUCCAGCUCCAGUUCAAGAAUAAGCCUGUGGAAAGUUACUUCUUCAAAAGCAAAAGUAUCCCAUAUCAUCUCUUCUCAUUUUUCUUCUCUUUAUCCUUCAUGCUGCCUGCAAGAUAGGGAGAAUGGUGAACAAUCAGCCGGAGCUCUGAUUGCUUACCUUGUCUGUCACCUCUUUCAGCAGAUCCCCUAGCUCGGCGACUUGGGGGACUCCUACUACAUGGUUUGUAUCGCGCUUGACCAAGCCUGAAACUACAAGUAAGCUUCAAGUGAAAUUGAUACAUUACCUUGUGCAUCUCCACCAGUUAAAGAUACCACCCCUGGAUGGAGGAAGAGUACUUCCAGAGAAGAUGCCACAUCUACCUAUGAGACAGAUAAGGCAAGUCAAGACGAUACCACACUCCGAUACUUAGAAGUUUCGUGAUUACGAGAUCAUUCUCCCACAAUAUUUCCUAAUGUCAUUUGUACUAAAUCAUUCACUUGUACUCACUAAAGGAGAGCUUGAACCUAUGUACUUGUGUAAACCCUUCACAAUUAAUGAGAACUCCUUCUAUUCCGUGGACGUAGCCAAUCUGGGUGAACCACGUACAUCUUGUGUGUUUGCUUUCCUAUCUCUAUCCAUUUAUAUACUUAUCCACACUAAUGACCGGAGCAAUCUAGCGAAGAUCACAAAAAGCGACCGUUUUCGCUACCUAGGAUCUAUCUUGCAAGAGAACGGAGAAUUAGAUGGAGAUCUCAACCAUAGAAUACAAGCUGGAUGGAUGAAGUGUAAGAGUGCAUCCGGCGUGUUGUGUGACCGUCGUAGGCCACUGAAGCUCAAGGGAAAAUUUUAUAGGACGGCAAUAAGGCCAGCGAUGUUGUAUGGCACAGAAUGUUGGGCGGUGAAGCAUCAACACGUACACAAAAUGGGUGUAGCGGAGAUGAGGAUGCUUCGUGGGAUGUGUGGGCACACGAGAAAGGAUAAGAUUGGGAAUGAGGAUAUCCGAGGUAAAGUAGGAGUAGCCGAAAUUGAAGGAAAGAUGAGAGAAAAUCGGUUCCGGUGAUUUGGACAUGUGCAAAGAAGGCCUACUGACGCUCCGGUUCGAAAAUGUGACUACGGGACAGAGGUUCAGGGCCGAAGGGGUAGAGGAAGACCUAGGAAAACUUUGGAAGAGACUCCUAAGAAAAGACUUAGAGUACUUGGAUCUAACGGAGGACAUGACACAAAACCGAGCGCAAUGGCGUUCUAGGAUUCAUAUAGACGACCCCACUUAGUGGGAAAAUGCUUUGUUGUUGUUGUUGUUGUUUGUUGUUUUUAAAACUCUAUAAUUUUAAUCAGUAGGUUCCAGAAAAAACACCCUCCAUAGAUUUGACGAAACAAGAGAGAAAAUGAAGAAAAUGUUGAAGGUGACCCAAAAAAUGAUGGAAAUGAAUCUGAAGGUGAAGAUGAUGCACAAGUAAGUAACUCUGAUUCAAGAAAGCGUAGUUGGGUUUGGAAGCAUUUUACAACAUACUAUGUGACGAAAAAAGUGAAAACAACCAAAAAGUGCUCUUCAAACUGCACUUGUAUUUUGGAUUUGUGAACAUGAAUUUAUUAACUUGGUUGCCUCAAGUUGAAUUAUUUUGUUGUGGUCCUUGAGGAUGUGAAUUUUGUUGUGAUCAACUAGGUAACUAUGAUAGUUUUUUUUUGGUACAUGCAAUGUAAUGCAAGGGAAAGCAGGUUGCAAUUGAGGCAAAAUUUGGUGUAGAGUAAAAGGCUGUGGGUUUAUGACAACAAAAUGGAAAGGCCCUGCCUUCGGCCACGGUUGUUCACUUUUAGUUUUAGCAGCACAUUGAGCACAGAGGUGUUUGUACUCUACUGGUCCAUAAAUGUUGUCCCAUUACACCAUCCUCACUUUGCUGCUGGACACGUAAUAGUCACAUAAUUAUAAAACCCACCAUCUUUUUUUCAAACAAUGAAACCAAACCGAAACCGUUUGAAACCAAACCAAACCGAACCAAAUGGUUUGGUUUCAUUUCGGUUUUAGCCUCAAAACCGCACCGAACCAAACCGUAAAAACUUGUGGUUUUGGUUUUGGUUUCACUCAAAACCCCACCAAACCAAACCGUGCCCACCCCUAGUUCAUACGUAAUACAUUCAAUAUUAUCUAUAUAAAAAUGUUGGAGAGUGAGCUAAAUCUAAUAAUAGACUAGCCAUAAUAAUUUGGUUCGAAUUUGCUUUGGACAAAAAUCAAACCUAAAACUCACACUUACAAAUGAAGAAAAUACCACUAACAGUGCCAUAGCUAGUUUUAGGAAAAGAAAAUUUGGAAUUUGGAUCUCAAACAAUCAACAAUCAUUAGCUAUUAUAUUUUGGCAACUGGAGAUAUCAACUCAAAGUGAAAGAGUUUCGGCCCCUAAUAACUGAUAGUACAUGUUGCAGGUGCAUCCAACCACCAGUAAAAAAAAAAAACCCCUUGCGCAGCAAAACACACAUCAUUGCCCAAAGUCACUUUGUGUGACAAAACUUUAAACUUCGUCGCGCAAAGUCUUGCUUAACGAAAUUAUAAACUUUGUUGCACAAAGUCUUUACAAAAAUAAAUAAAAUAAAAUAAACCCUUGCGCGACGAAACACACAUCGUCGUGCAAAGUGACUUUGCGCGACGAAACUUUAAACUUCGUCGUGCAAAGUCUUUACAAAAAAAAAAAAAAAAAAAAAAAAUAUUUUUUAAAACUUUGCGCGACGUAAUUCAAAUAUUUCGUCGCCUAAACCAAUUUAUUUUCAUUUUUUAUUUUGUACGUAUAACACAUAAGAAAUUGAACGGUAUAUAUAUUUAUUAAGUAGCUUUAAAUUUAUUAUUUUAGUUCUGAUCGGGUUUUUAUUAGAAAAAUAUAUUAUUGUAGUUCGGCUCGGAUUUUUGUUAGAAAAAUGUAUUUUAAAUUGACAAUCGAAUUAGUUCAUUAUAUUAAUAUAGGGUCAAGGAGUGUAGCUAUAAAAAAUCAUCAAAAUCGGAGUUGAAAUAACCGUUAAAUCGUGAUUUUUCGUUUAUAACUGUCGAAAAGUUUUAUCCUAAUCCUUCAUCUCUGAAUGAUUGUUUUUUGUUAUUUUUGGCGCAUAUGAUCUCGAAGUAUAUACAAACAAUUUUGACGGUUGAAUCGUCGAAACUAAUUUCAUAGAAUGCAUAUCUCAUCAAAACAAUAGAUUCACUAACACUUAGAGUUUAUGUAUACUUUCAUUAAGUAUAACAUAAGAUUUUGUGGUAUCCAUUAGUGUAAAUAUUUUAAAUUGAAGAUCGAAUUCAUUCGUUGUAUUCAUAUAGGGUUAAGGAGUGUAGCUAUAAAAAAUCAUCAAAAUCGGAGUUAAAAUAACCGUUAAAUCGAGAUUUUUCGUUUAUAACCAUCGAAAAGUUUUGUCCCGUUUCUUGAUCUCUGAAUGUUUGUAAAUUUUUGCUUAUGCAAUCUCAAAGUAUAUACAAACAAGUUUGACAGUUGGAUCGUUGAAACUAGUUUCAUAGAAUGCGUAUCCUAUCAAAACAAUAGAUUCACUAACACUUAGAGUUUAUUUAUACUUUCAUUAAGUAUAACAUAAGAUUUUGUGGUAUCCAUUAGUGUAAAUAUUUUAAAUUGAAGAUCAAAUUCAUUCAUUAUAUUCAUAUAGGGUCAAGGAGUGUAACUGUAAAAAAUCAUCAAAAUCGGAGUUAAAAUAACCGUUAAACCAUGAUGUUUCGUUUAUUCAUAUAAGUGUAGCUGUAUACAUGUGUCGUGCAAACCAAUUUAUUUAUUUUUUUUAUAUUAUAAAUUUUAAAAUAUAUUUUUUUUCAUAAGUUUUUAUUAUUUUUUUUAAAUUUGCACGACGAAUAUCAAUAUUUCGUCGCCUAACUGAUGCAGCAAUCAAAAAGAAAAUCAGUUGAUUAAUAAUCUGGGUACCGAUCCUCAAAUGGAGAACGAAUGUUAAAACAAAAACACACAAAAUGCAUAACUUUUCCUUGCAGAUUUGUUGAUUGUCAAAGACAAUACCGAAUUUCACAAAUCCUAAACCUCUUGUUGAUUCACUAAGAAUGCCAAGAAGUUUAUCACACAAACGUUGUUGAUUCUCUGCACAAGAAUGGCCAAUGAUCGUUCAGGUGUCUAUACCUCAUUAUUUCCGUUGGAAUAUCCGAGUUGAUAGAACAAGAACAAAAAUGAUAUAACCCUCUCAAAUUGCACUCAAUUUUCAAUUCAAUUUAUCAUAAUCUUCCCCUAGAAUACAAAAUACUCAUGAUUUAUAAAAACUCUAACCCCCUCUUAAUAAUUGCUGAUACAUGCAUCAUUACUAGAGUUAAUGAACUCAUUAAGAUUAACCCCACUUAACCUACCCCACUAACAUAUAUUUAUUACAUUAAAUAAAGAUUGAGUCAUCUAACAUCACUAACCAUUAUUUACUUAUUUUUUAUUUAUUUUCAUAUUUUAUAUUGUUAAACUAAUUUUAUUUUUUUCUUUGCUUGACGAAUACACAUUUGGUCGCCUAAACCUUAUUUAUUUUAAUUUAUUUAUAUUUGUAAUUGUAAAAUAAAAUUAUUUUCUUUUUUAUUAUUUAUAAAAAUUAUUUUUAUAAAUUUUGCGUGACGAACCAAAAUUUCAUUGCACAUAAUCCUUAAAUUUGGACUGGAGCCUAAAAUGGGCACGAUAAUUUUUUAAGACUUUGCGCGACCAAUAUUUCGUCGCGCAAAACUUUUCGCAACCAACACUUCGUCGCAUAAAACUUUGCAUGACCAACACUUCGUCGCGGAAAACUCUAAAAAUUUGGGUAGGCACCAAAAAUGAGACGCGGGAAAUUAUUAUUUUUUUUAAUUUUUUAAGACUUUGCACGACCAAUAUUUCAUCACACAAACUCGUAUCCUUCGUCACGCAAAGUGAUAUUGCUUUUAAAACCAAAAUAACUCUUCCACCAUUUUCUCAAUGUCUUUCUCUACUCUUACCUCUCCUCUUUCUUUCCCUCUCCCCAAAUUCGACCAUCCCUCUCACACUCACUCCUCUAACUUAAUCUCUCUUCUCUCUCUUCACUAUCUCUCACUCUCGCUCUCUCGCUCACUCUCUCACCUCUCUCUCACUAUCUCAUCUAAUACUCUCACACUCACUCCUCCAUCUCAUUCUCACUCACUCUCAAUCAAGGUAUUAAAUAUCGAUGAUAUCGGAAAUAUUGGUAGUCUGAAAACAUGAAAAUAUCGAUGGAAAUAUCAGGAUAAUAUCGAUAUCGAUAAAAAUAAUAUGGAAACCACGGAAAUUGUAAGAAAAACUUGGAAGGAAAUGCAUUGCAUGAUGGAUUUAACUGAUUUAAAUUGAUUACAUAGCAAGCUGACAAACAUUGUGAGGGUAGAAAAUAUUUAGUGAUUUUAUUUUAAUAUUCUUUCUCUGUUUUGAACGUUGGUCCGUGGGACCAACCCACGUGACCCACUCUCUUGGUUUCUCUUCCCCGUGUAGUCAUCAGACUCAAACACUCCAUCUCUCUCUCCCUCUCUCUCUUUUGUAAAGUUUUUCUAUCAAUCAUUUUAAUAUUUUAUUUAAUUUUCUACUCUUAAUUCGUGUGCCUUGAUCUUGGUUUUGUCAUCCCUUUUAUAUUUUUAUUUACUUUUCUUUCUUUCUCCAUACCAUCUUUUCCUAUCCCCAUUAAAACUCUCACUUUUAUCACUCUCACUCUCUACCAUCUUUUCCUCUCGCAGCCUCCAGAACCUUUCCUUCCAGUGUAAAAAAAACACAACCCUAGUCUCCACUUCUCUUAUAGCCGAUCCUCAUUCCAGCUUCUCUCAUCUCAAAUCUUCGAGAAUAACUCCUAUCUUCCUCACAUCAAACCACACCGAGCCCAGCCUUGCUAUCUCAAAUCCAAUAAUCAGACCCCACCCUCCGUUCCGCUGCCAUAACUCGAAACCAAAAGGUCAGACCCAUCAACCUCAGGUUUGAUAAAUCAAACCCAAACCCUCUCGCCUUGUGCUUUCGUUUGCUACCUAGAUCGGGGUCUAGGGUGGUAGUUUGCAGUCAGCCGGAGCUGUAGAAGCUCUGGCGUUCUUCUCUGUUCUUCCCUGUUGAUUCCUGACGAGCGCAGGCAUUUCAGGCCGUUUCCUAUAACCCUCGGGCCUUAGGCCUGUUAUGAAGGUGGAGCGAUAUUAUCGAUAAUAUCGAUAAUGUCGCGAUAUUUUGACGAUAAUUAGGUGGAUAAGUGUCAAAUAUCGCCCUCUCACAAAAACGAUAUUAUCGGCGAUAUUUCGCCAAUAAUAUCGACAUUUUAGACCAUGCUAUCAAUCUUUCCAAAAGGUAUAUUCUCCCCAAAUUUUAAUUUUUUUUCAUUAAUAUGUGUUUUUGGAGUUAGUUUUGAGUUUGGUGUGGAGUUUGGGGUUGAGUAUAGGAUGAGGAGUAGAGUUUGGGGUCGGAUUUAAGGUAUACCAAUUUUAGGGGAGAUUAUGCCAAUUUUUUGUUAUUUGACCAUAUUUUUUUUCGUAGGGAAUCGUGGAGACUUUGACAGCUAAAGUUGAGGAUUAGGACGCUAUCGAAACAUAUCCCCCGCCACUACCCCCCACAAGAAACUUGUGUUAGGAUUUUAUUAUUGUACUUUGUUAAUUUAUGUGUACAUUUUGAAUAUAUUAUAUAUAUUGGAUAAUUUGAUCACUAUUUUGAAUAUGUAAUUCUAUUUUGAAUAUGUCAAUUUAAAUUAAAGUAAUUAAAAAACAAAAUCAUACAAUUAAAUUAAAUUAAAAAAGUAAAAAUUCGAAAAACCUUGCGCUACCAAAUAUUUCAUUGCGUAAACAAUUAAUAUAAUUAAAUUAAUAUAAGAGAAAUAAUAAAACAAAAAGUCAAAAACCUUGCGCGAAAAAAUAUUUCGUUGCACAAAAUAUUAAAUUAAUUUAUUUUAAUUAAAAAAUUUUAAAUUUAAAAUAUCGUUGCGCAAAGCUUUGCACAACGUUAAUCUUCGUCGCACAAACCAUAUCGUCACGAGCUUUGUGAGACAAACCAUGCGCGACCAAGAUUUCGUUGCGCAAGGUUUUGAGCGACGAAAUUGUUCUAUGCGCAACAAACUUAUUUCGUCGCGCAAAGUGUUUUUUUGUAGUAGUGGACUUAAAGGUUUUUUUAUUUUUUUACAAACGAUAUUACAGUACAAGAUGAAAGAGUGAGUUAAACAUCACAAUAGGCUAGCAAUAAUAUGGUUCAAAUUCGUCUUUAGCGAUAAUCAAAUAUAAGAUCUCUCACUUAAAAUGAAGAGGAAUAUCACUAAACUGUAAUACUAAGUGACAACAGACACGAAGUUGAAGAGUGGAGAAAACUACAAAUCCAAAGAGAGACUAUGAAAAUUGUAUUUGUUUAAUAAUAAGCAAAUUAGUGAUGUAAGUUUUGGUGAUCUUGAUUGUUGAUGGUCUACAUCUGGUUUUAUGCGAGAAAACCGGGUACCACAGGUGCAGCAGACGGCGGCGAAAUGCCAUGGCAUAAGGGCAGCUAUAGUUAUGGCAAACUUUUUGCCACAUCUACACUGAUUGAGUAUUCUUCAUUUUCUUUUCUCUUUACUAAAAAAUUGCUCCCUAUAGAUAAUUAGAUAUUCCAUCUAUAGAGCUGGUACAAUGGAUCCCUUCCAAAAAUUUCAUAUGCUUCUAUUUUCUAAAUAAUCAUCAUGCAUGACUUACGUUGCCAGAAUGUAACUGACACACCCCGACUUAAAUCAGGGCAUGCUGGCCGUCACAUGGGAGUGACGUAACCAUGUGCACAGUGCGGAAACAAUAGAUAUAGAGAAAUACGAGAGAAUAAAAAGAAAAUCAACUAGAGUACUAGCUAAGAUAGAGUGCUAGUGCAAGAUUAAGUGUGAAAUACACAACCAGAGCAUAAAUAGUCUAAGUGCUGUCAAGCAGGACAAGUACUAAUAACACAACACCCGAGGGUGAUCCUACAUGGUGAUGUUCUGUCAGUACCCCCAUCAGAAUCCUUGUGAUCCACCAAAACACUUCUACCUAAAACCUGGAGGGGCACAAAACAGAAAGUGUGAGUAGACAAAAACAAAGCUUUUCCAAAAUCAUUUCAUUCUCAAAGUUCUAACUCCUCGCCGUAAAACCUGUAUAAUUUCCCAGAAAAUAAUAAUCAUAAUAAGUUGUGUCCGAAAUCAUACUCAAGAUGAAAAUCCAUAGAAGUAUACCAUGCCAAAGUAUCUCAAUGCAAUGCUAUAGGUAAACCAAGCAAAAUAUAUAAACGUCAAAUAUCGCAUCAGCCAAAUCUCUCUAACUCAAACUACACUACUGAGUAUAUAGCUCAUAACCAAUCUCAAUCAUAUCAAAUCAAAUCAAAUCCUGCACACGAGUCGGAACCACCUACAGUGGUCAAUAUGACAAGACUAGGUGUAAAGUAAAUAUGCUCUAGUGCUACGAUCAUGUGAAGGCUAUGCGAAUGAUCGCGGGUCACCUACGAGUCAAAACCACCUAAAGUGGUAUGUACGACAAGCCUGUGCACCUAACUUGGAUCCAAGGUAAACAUACGGUGUGAGAGGUGAGUAUCACGUGAAGGACUGUGCCCUAACUAUGGGCGGGAGCACUAACACCGGGUGCAAGUUUAUGAGCUCUCAUCACAUCACAUCAUCUCGCAUAACUGAAUUAAUCUCACAUCUUUAAUUUAUAAACUUACCUGGCACUUCCCUGUGCGUUCGCAACACCAAUCAUGAAUGUAUGCAACUACUAAUGCAUAAUUAAAAUAGAUAGAUACUUACAUGGCAUUUUCAAAACAUAUAUUCAUUUAAACAUAUUUUCUGGGAAAAAUCUCAAGUAUAUAGGUAUAUACGGAAAACCAAAAGCCCACUCAUUGGUAUGUCAAAGGGUCAUAGCCCCUGAGCCUCAAUUAAUGGCGUUUGUCUUCAGGAUAGGUCUCACCUAUAUGCGAAAUAACUAAAUAAAUGUUAUUUAAAGCACAUAACCAAAACUAGGUAAUAACUUCUCAUACAAUGCUCAAAUGGGGUAUUUGAAUAUACCACCAUGACCUACUCAACCUCAGGAACAUCGCCAUAUUUUUAGAAUUUUUUUUGGAGUUGUCACGAGCCGUCACGUGUCGGCGAAGGCACGGCCAGGUGCGUCGCCCAUGCGUGGGCACGUGCCAGGCACAUUGACGGAACAGUUAACGCUGUUACGGAAUAUUUCGUCAAAAGUAGCAUAUUCCGUUAAAACUAACCUAACACUAUUAGAAUAUUCCGUCAUAUUCUUUGUCUUCUUCCUUCGAACUCCGAUGACUGUCGCCGUCGUUGGAAAAUUGGGAAAUUUUCAAACCUUAAUAUCUCAGUCCAUACACAACCAAAAUCUAUGAAAUUUGUACCAAAAUGAAGCUUACAACGAGUAGAACAAAACCUUACCUUUCAAAAGUCCUAAAACUAACGAAAACUCAUUGGAAAAUCCCUCGAUAAUCCGGCUAAACCUGCAACUCGUCGAAACUCAACUUCCCGACGUCCAAAUCACAUAAUUUUUCUUUUCCGAGCUUCGUGAAGACGAUCUAAAGCUUCCUAUAAUCUUAUAAUCUUUCAAAAACUCCACAUUUAUGUGUGCAUGAACAGUACUUCAAAUCUGGGUUUCUAAUUUUCGGGUUUUCUGACAGCUUCGCGUCCUAAAAUGGUACCACUCGACUCCUAAGAUUGUAAGAAGUCCAAAGACACCAACCAAAACCUCGAUCGGCGACUAGUUGAAGGGUUUUGAGGUUUGUACGGAAAUGGAAGGAAAUCCGAGAGGGAGAGAGAGAAAGGGGCAACGGGUUUGUUUGGGUCACCAACCAAAAAUGAAAGGAAACUUAGUCCUAAUUGGGUCCAAACAGUUUGGACUUAAGAUAAUUGGCCUAUUUCAUAGAAUCACAAUCCAACGCUCAAGGGCAAAAUCGACAUUUCACCCCAUCGAUAAAAAUAAUUCAUGACGGGCUGUCACAGUAACGGUCUAACUUAAAAUACAUAUUCAAGCAACAAUCAAUGAGAUCUCAUUAUUGAGUUUUUACAAAAGUUUAGGAUAUAACAUAAAAGUGAUUAAUGAUAUGAGGAACAAUACAAUUCUCUAAGGCUAUCUCCACCCGAAGGGUGCAAAGGGCCAAAGGUCCGAAAAUAGCCCGAAAAUCGUCUCCAACCGAGGGCUAGGCCAGAAGGCUCAUGGGCCCCAUGAAAUCUGAAAUGGCCAAAGGGUUGGUUGGAAUUUUUUGCUUGCUGUCGGUUAUAACCGACAUAAAUAAAAGAAAUAGUGUCGGUUAUAACCGACACAAAUAGCAUGGAAAUUUUUUAAUCUAACGACUAUUAGACAGAAAUAGUGUCGGUUAUAAUCGACACAAAUAUGAAAUUUUUUUAAUAUAACGGCUAGCUGACAUUAGCUAGCCGUUAUUUGUUAUUUUUUAUAUACUUUUACAUUUUUUUUUGUUUUUUGAGCCAUUUUUUUUAAUUCUUAAAAAUUCUAUUUUUUUCCUAUAAAUACCUAAACCUUUCAUUAAAUUGAAGUUCUAUUUUUUUUGUUUUUUGGGCCAGUUACCAUUAUAGUUUUUAAAUUUAAGUUGUUGGAUUUGAAAUUAAGUUGUUGUAGUUUUUAAAUUUAAAUAAUAAAUUAUAUUUGGCCCUAUGACCCUUUGGCCCUCGGUUGGAGAUGGUUUUUUGUGAAAUGGCUAAAAUGAGCCUUAUGACCCUUUGGUCCUCGAUUGGAGAUGGAGGCAAAUAUGGCCUUGUAUUGUUCAUUAAAAUAUUAAUAUCUUGGAGGGCCAGAUGGCUAAAACGAGCCAUCUGGCCAGCCCACGGUUGGAGAUGGCCUAAUUGGCAAUAUAGGUAGUAGUUCAAUUUUGUAUAAGCACAUACAAGGUCUCUUAUCUUCCUAGUGUGACAUUGGUACCUCAACACGUAAGUCUAACACGUAAACAACACUUAUUUAUUAUGUAGAGCACCUGUGACAUACAACAUCCUGCUUUGAAUGAUAAAAAAAAUUAAAAUUUCACUGUAAAACUAAUUGAUUGGGGGGUCCCAAAUGAAUUGCCUUAUUCGAAAAAAGCCUUGUUCUUUGGAAGAUAUUCUGCAUGGUUCCACUUUGCAAGAACUUCAAACUGUCCUUGAAUAUUAAUAUGUAUAUUUUCAUAAACAAAAAAAGAAAUAAUUUUUUUAUCUUAAUUAAUUAUUUCUGAGUCACCGGUUCUUAUUUAUUUUCUUUUGAAUUUUGUGGACAAGGGAACAUACCUCAGACCGAUCAACCCAUUAUUGUGGAGUUUAUUGGGAAAAUAUUGAAUUAAAGUCAUUCAUGUGUGCCGAUAUCCUUAUGGUUGACUUAACAAUUGAUCGACAACUUAGUAGGCCGCUCUGGAUUUGAAUCAGCGUAGACAUAUUGCGAAUGAAUUUACAAUGUCCCCAUUAACCACUCACACAUCAACCCAGGAAGAUUCAAUUCCAGGCUUAUUGAUCAUCCACGAUCAACUUUCUUUCGUAGUGCCCUACCCAAGAGGAAGUCAAAUCCCAUCUGCCUCUUUGAAAGAAAGAGAGAUGUACUGAACCAUGAAACGACAAUAUAAAAAGUAACUAGUAUAAACAUGGGCAAAAUUCCUUAUUUUCCGACAUGAGGUUGAUGCUCUCAAAAAAAAAAAAAAAACCCCUAAACUUGUAAUUUGUGGGAAGGUCUAUGUUUUUAGAGAAAAGAAAAAACAAUGGAUAUAACUAUAUAUUGUAUGAUGCCACUUGUAGGUUGUAGCAUGUCAAAUUCGUAUCAACUCUUUGUAUUUUUUUUUUUUUUGAAAAGCAACGAUAGAAAAUUUCAUUAAUCAAAAGGGUUGAAUACGGCAAGUACAAACAGGGAGAGGAGAGAGAACUCCCUUCACAACAACUAUCAACCAUUACAUUCCAAUACAUAAAGGUCAACCAAAAGAUCCGGCGAUUCCUCAAAUCAAGGCCGGAGAACCUCACAGUUAAGGGCAAGUUUUGCAAGGCGGUGGAUCAUCUCAUUAGCCUGUCGUUGAACAUGGGCUGAAAAUCUCUAGUGAUCGUAGACAACAGAGCUUUAGCAUCUUCAAUAAUACGACCAAUGAUUGAUCUAUUAAUUGAAGACUCGCAUAAAGCCAUCACAAUCUGGAGGACAUCACUCUCUAAAAUGGAUCUAUUAUCAAACUAAUAUCGUGGUUAUUUUUAUUUUGUUUGGUUCAGUCGCCGUUUAACAUGCACCUAUUAUCAAACUAGCAUAUGUUUGCACACUUUGUGUGCGUUAAUAUUUGUUUGUUUGUAAAAUGGUAAGGAGAUAGGAAGUGAGAGAACGUGUGAGUGGAAAGAGAGGUUUUUGUUUUUUAUUUUUAAUAUUAAAUAUAUGCUAAAAUCACUUAUAGGUGAGACUUCACUAAAAAAUAGCAAAAUUUGGUUUUGUGAAAUUAGAGUAUUGCCCAUUAUUUUUUCUAUGAUAGAAUAUUAAAGGCUUAUUAUAUUAACACUCCACAAAUUAUUGAAUAAACCUCAUAUAUUUAAUACACUCCACAUUUGUUUUUUCAAUGAAAAAUUAUCUUAAUACACCCCACAUACUUCCCCAUAAUACCCUCACACCUCACAUUCAUUGUUUACAUGCACCCCAUAUUUUCUAUACACCCCACAUUUCUCAAAUCUUAUAAAGCUUUUAAUUUGGACAAAAAAUGUCGACUGAAAUUUUGACAAAAGAUACCGCCUGGAAUUUAAAGCAUAUGUGGGUUGUUUUUAAUUCCACCAUUAAAACCCAUGUCGUCUGUUUUUAAUAUUUGGUGGUAAUUGUAGGUGUUUAAUUCUUCAUGUAAUCUCUGUGAUCCCUAAAAGAUGAAUACGAAUAUAGAAGCUUGAAUAACAGCAAAAGCAAGAUUAAAUAAUUAUCGUUGUCGUCAAAAUCACUAAAACAAUAAAGAAUAUGAAGUCUUACCUCAUGUGAAGCUUCUGACAUCGAUUUCGUGUUUCAUUCAUCAAAAAUAAUUUAUUUUCAAUCAACAUGUUUGUAGUUUCAUUGGUUAGGGUUUUGUUCAACAAUGGAGGGUCAUAGGGAUUUUGGUAGUUGAAGAAGAUAAAUAAUACGUUAAAAGUGAUUUGGGGUAUAUUUAGAAUUUUUUUUUAAACCUAAUAAGGUCAAAAUUGUCAUUGCAUAGAAGGGUAAAUAAAUAAUUUAAUAUUAAAUUUUAAUGUGGGUUGCAUUCAAAAUUUUGUGGGGUGCUAAUAUAUAAAAGUUUUAUCACCCUUUUUUGUUGACAAAGAGAAUUCUAUAAAUAGGUUGUUUAGAUAAAUAUUUUAGAUCUCUAUCUCAAUAAGUACUAAAAAUUUAUAAACCUAUUAAAUUAAAAAAUAUUCACCGACAGACUCUUAACUUGAGGAUUUAAAUUAUAAUCUCAUAACUGAGCGUUUUACUCCCCAAAAAAAAUAUGGAAAUUGUAUUAAAUUUUUUAGCCCUUUUGAUAUAGAUGCCUCAAUUUCAAUUUUUUUGAAUCAAACAUCUACAGCUUUUAAAAUUUUGAUCAAACAUUUUUAUACUAAUUUUUUAUUAAAAAUGAUGAUUUUUACUAUAUUUAAUGACUUAUUAUAUUAGCACCCCACAAAUUGUUAAAUAAACCUCACACACUUAAUACACAUCACAUUUACUUUUUCAAUUAAAAAUGAUCUUAAUACACCUCACUUCCUUCCCCAUAAUACCCUCACACCCCACAUUCUUAAUAUACACCUUACAUUUUCUAUACACACCCCACAUUUCUCAAAUCUUAUAACAGUCAUUUUUUAUUUUGCCGAAUGAUUUCAAACCAUCUAAACUGUAGUUUGCCGAAUGAUUUCAAAUUGAAUGAUUUGAAAAAAUGUUUAGGUUCAUUUGAAUGUUUUUCAAUAACAAUAAUAAUGAUUUCAAAGCUUUCGAAACACCAAUUUUGUGUUCCAUUCGUCAAAAAUAAUUUUUCUUAAUCAACAUGUUUGUAGUUUCAUUACUUAGAGUUUUAUUCAACAAUGGAGGGUGUGAAGGGUUUUGAUAGUUGAAGGAGAUAAAUAAUACGUUAAAAGUUAAUUUUAUUAUUAUUUUUUAAACCUAAUAAGGUCAAAAUUAUCAUUGCAUAGUAGAGUAAAUAAGUCAUUAAUAUUAAAUUUUAAUGUGGGGUGCAUUCAAUAUUUUGUGGGGUGCUAUCACUAAUAAGGUCAAAAUAAUACGUUAAAAGUUAAUUUUAUUAUUAUUUUUUAAACCCAUUAAUUCGCAAAUUAAUAUCACAAAUCUCCUAGAACCACAACAAACAUCUUCUCGUACCACAAUUCAUUUGAAAAGAAUUUUUUUUAAACUCAAAUAAUUUUUUUAUUUGAAUUCUAAAAAUACUCAAACAUCAUUUUAACAUACAAUUAUGAUAUACUAACAGGAUCCUUUUCGGAUCAUUUUGAUGAGGAUCCUGGAGAUCCGUGAAUUGUGUUCGUUCAUCAUACAUCGUGCAGUUAGUUUUUGUUAAGUACUAUUUGUGUUUAAUUUUAAAUAAAAAUAUUUAAAAUGAUUUCUGACCGCUGUACGAUGAACGGACAUGAUUCACGGAUCUCUGGAAUCCUCAUAAAGAGGAUCCAGCAAGGACCGGAUUUUAUGAGAUAUAACAUGCACAUAUAUUAAAUAUAACGUACCAAAUGAUUGGCACAUUAUAUAAAUUUUAUUUUGGUACAUAUUAAUAUUUUGGUACGUUAUAAAAUAUUACUUUGGGUACCUUAUGCAAUUCUUUAUUUGGUACGUUGUGUUAUCCUUAUUUUGGUACGUACCAAUUUAUCGGUACGUGUUGUGUUAUCCAUAUUUUAAGUGUAAAAGAACUCUUUUUUUUUUUAUAAUCUAUAUAAAAUGCUGAGUUGAAAAUUAAAAAAAAAAAAAUUAUAUUCCAUCCAAUUAAUCUUCAUCUGACUAGAUAUAAUUGAAUCCUUAAGUUGAGGAAGAGAUGAGAUUUCAUAAAAAUAGCAAUAAAUUGAUUAAUAUUAUUGAGUGCAUUUUUUAUAUGAAAGUGAAUUUAAAAAAAACAAACUUAAGUUAAAAAUAUACCUGGAAUAUAGCGUUUAAUCAAAAGUUAGAAAGUAACAAAUGUUUAAUCUAUAAAUGUCUAAAACGAGGUAUCUAAUUCAUUUAAGUUUAGAUAAAAUAGUUACAAUAAAUAAAACUUAAUCUCAUACCUCAAUUCAAAUUGUGAAACUUUUAUAUCUCAUAAUGCACAUAUCCUGUCAAAGAGAAAUGCUAGGAGACUUUUUCAAAGUUUCAAUGAAGCUUAAAAAGAACGUUGGAGUGGGCAGCAAUUGAAGCGUCCGAGUGUGGCUUGGCGGAAGAAGCUCUCUUUGCUCGCAACAAUGGUGAUGACGCGUACAGCGGGAAAUUGGAAUGGACGUGGAUUGUCGACAAAAUUCUCUGGCGAGUUGCUUUCCCCCUCGUGGAUCCCAAGACUAUGAAGUCUCUAAUGACCUAGAUAGUGCGAUCCCGUUCCCUGUGGACGCAUUGGGGCUGGAUUUGAACCUCCCCCAACGCCAAAGGAUAGCUCAAGGCAGAGUUGUUCAAAACAUGCCGCAAGUUUUGUAUCCAUGGCAGCGGAAAAAGAGGAAAACGCCGAAGAAAUCAACGCGUGAAUCAAUUGAGGAAGAAUCGCAAUUGAUGCUUUGAGGGCAGCUAUACGAGCCUCGAUGGACGAAAGACUUGAUGGUUGGGUGUGGCGGGCGUGCACAGGAGGGAAACCAGGAUUGGAGAGGGAUAAUAUCAUUGAUACGAUGCGAUUCUCAAGCCUUAAACAGGAAUUACUUACUUACAACCAAUUAAACGCCCUAAUUGUAAUUAAGGCAAACACAACAAUACAACACAGUUCAUAUCAGGAUGGCCUUGGACCCGUCAUGUGAGCUGCAGAGUUUGGCGAGUUCUGCUAUAUCGGCGACUUUGGCUGCCAUUUCUGAGUCGCCGGAGCAAGGGAUCGGGAUAGCGCGGGGUCUGUGAAAGUCUCGCGUUUUGUCACUUUCUGUGUGUUUGUUUUGUUUUGUGCGUUCCCUUCUUCGCUUUGACGACUCCAGCAUGAGGGGUUAAAGAGGGGUAGGGGUAAAAUUGGGAAUAGGAAAAAAGAAAAAGUUGAAAACUGAGAAGGGGACGGCUAGAAAGAGAGGAAUGGCUGUGAGCACUAGGGUGAAACUAACGUUUAAUAGCGUCUACGACGGUGAUGCGGUGGUGAUGGUCUCGACGGUAGUGAUGGAGGACGAUGGUGGUGAAUUGGUGGUUCUGCGUUCGGUGAUGUCAGCGAGGAGAGAGAGGAGUGGGAUUUGGGAAUCGAUUGAGGAGAGAUAGGAGUCGGAUGAAAGUUUCUAGAGCAUUCGAGUAGUAAGCCCACAUGGGCCAUUGUAUUACUUUUUAAAAACAAUGUGGGGGUGUUUGUUUGACCUCCUUAGUUUUCACUGGACUUAGUCUAGUCUGAUGUUUGUUGCUCUGCAGGAUUAACAUUAAUGGGAUAAAAGAGGACUCGCCUCGACUAAGGACAGCGCUAGGCGGUCUUAGCGAGCCCCCCCCCUCGCGCAUACCAUAGGACUGGCUAAGAAUUAGCUUUGUCCUCCUCACUUCGCUCUCUGCUUCAUCAUCUCUCGCGUCCUUUCUCUUCCUCCUCGCCUUGAACCCAAAAUCACAAACUAACAAGACCUCAAAUUUGAAUCUCAAUCGGAGAAUCCAUGAGCUGCGUCAUCUGAUUCACCUCGAACCCAAAUUAGACAAGGUCGUCGAUCGCACAUCCGUCCUCCUGGACCUUGAUUUUCGACGGCACGGCUCUUCUCUGUGAGAGUAUCUCAACCAUGCGGCCAUGCCCAUCUCAGCAGAAGCUCAAUCAGGUCAGAAUUUUUUUCAUUUUUCUUGUGAUUUUCAGAAAAGGCACAGAUUGCAUGGGUGAUUUGAGUUUUGCGUGAAUGGGUUUUGUUUAAAAUGUUUUUUUGUUGUCAUUUGGAGUAGGUGAUGAGAAAAAGGCUAUGUGAGAUUUGUGUAUCACUAUCAGAGAGAGGGGAUUAUCCUCCCAGAGACCUCCCACUCCUGUUUUUUGGGGGAAGACGGUAGUACUGAGAAAAAGAGGGAGAGGGGAGGGAGUCAAUGGGCGAAGAUAAAAAUGAAUCAGGGAAGAAGAUGAUUCUAGCCAAAUGAUAAAAUAAUAAUAAAAGAAUUAGUAGAUUAGAUUAAAUUAAUGAUAAAAUAUUGUAUAUAUAGAUUUAAUAAUAUAAUAUUAGAGUUCUGCUUCUUAAUCCGGCACUGUAUCAAACGCUUCACUAAGUCAGUUCAGCUUAGUCUAGUCUAAGCCAAUCCAGCUUAGUCCAUGAAGCUAGUCCAGUCCGAGAUAGUCCGGUGCAACAAAUGCACCCUGUAAGUAUUGUUUAAUGCUUAUUUUACGAUAAUUUAAAUCCAUCCAAGCUCCUGCCUAGAUCUCACCUAGGCACCUAGCUGCUAAGUCUCAGUCCGCUGUUUGACUAGCGCCUAACAUUUUUUAGGAUAUAAUCCUAGCCAAUUUAAGUUUCUUACAUUGGCUUUGAUAUUAUUGCUUACAACCACUUUGGUGGAGAGACUAUUUUCUUUUAUGAAUAUUGACUCAAAACUUUGCACUCUCCAAUAUAAAAGCUACCGCUUCGAUUGAACCUUGCACUCUUUUGAAUUUCACCCCUCCCCUCUGCAAAUUAUGGCUUUGCCACUGCUAGGGUGGGCACAAAAAUCGCCAAACCGUAGAACCAAAUUGAAUUAUAAACAAAUAUAUCGAGUCGACUAGGAAGAAGUGAAGCCGCUCCUAAGAUUUGGAGCAUAAGCUUUUGAUCUUUCCAAUCGUAGUCGACCAAGAAGGAAGAAGUGAUGGAGUAAAGGGUGAGUGCUAUCCCACAUGUCAAAAGGAAUGUGGCGGGAAUGCAAUAACAUGAACUUAAUAGGAGCAAAAUAGAAAAAACACUGUGCUUAUGAACAAUGUUUUAGAUCAUUUUGAGUUUUAGUAUAUAUUAAAUUUCACUUUAAUAUUUUCAUUGGGUACAAGGAUACCAUUUUCAUUCAUUCUAGCAAUUUUGAGGAACUAGCAACUUUGAGGAGCUAGCUACUUUGAGAAGCGGACAUUGAACACAAAAUCUCAACUACACUACUGAAUGAUUGUAUCAUUUGAGCUACAAAAUCGCUGCACAAGAAGAUAUACCUUAGAAAUGAACAAACACUUUUGACAAAAAAACAAAAAAAAAAAAGAAAUGAAUAAACACUAGGCAAUAUAAAGGGUUACAUGGAGAUGAUGAUCAAAGAUUCAAAAUGAUUAAGGGCUAAAUAUGCAAGCAUAAAUAUUCAUAAUUAUUUAAGUAGAAAGCUCCGUAAAAAAAAAUGUAAAUCCUUUCAAUUCCCAUAUUACAUUUAAUAUUUUCAUUAGUUCUUAAAAAUAACAUUGUUUACCUUUCUCUUUUGUUUCACAUACUCUCCCUCUUGUGAAAGAAAGCGACCACCAUCACUUGCAACUACUACAACCAUCACGGCCACCACCCCGACAUCGCUACCUCCAUUACCACCACCAACGUUGUCACUUCCCCACCACCAUUGUUGCCUUUACACCCCACUCACAAGAAAGUGAAGGUGUUCAUUUCUAAUGGUAUACUAGCCUAAGAAAGUCAUCACCUAUGAACCACUCUACAUAUACAUAAGUGAUGACUUUCUUAGGCUACUAUACCAUUAGAAAUGAACACCUUCACUCUCUUCACCACCAUCAUCCCACGGGUCCCCAUCAACCCCUCACCAUCGUUUCCGCUAUCCACCACCAUUAACAUCAUGUUCAUUUACACCAAAUAAAACAAAUUUAUAUUGUUAAACGAUAUGAUACUAUUUUUUUUUCACUCACAACACUAAUAAAAAUAUAACUUACCAAACACUUAACAUCCUUAGUUUAGAACUUAUUAUUUUCAAAGUACAACAAGAGCAGUUUAUUCAAAAAAAAAUAAAAAACAAAAACAAUAUUAAAUUGGCCUUUAGAACUUUUAUGUGAUCGUUUCCUUGGGUCUAGCUGGAAUAUACCGUUACUCAAUGACUUGAACCUAUGCUCUAAUUCUAAAGGACUUGCAUCAAACAUGUAUAUUGUCACUAUGACGCCUAGUCUAAUAAUUCAAUAUCAUUUGUAAGUUUUUUUUCUUAGAACAUUACAUUAUUAGAUUAGGACACUAUAUGACGGUAAACCUGUUAUAUGUAGUUGGUUUCCAAAAUGUGCAUGUUUUGAGUACAGUGAAUAUGAACAUCCGUAGUCAUCAAAGGAACGACGAAAUUUUUGUGGACACCCAUUGUGGACACACAUGUUCACGCCAUGCAACUGCUCUCAUGACUCAUUUUUUGCUUGCUAAGAGCAAUUCCACCCCUAAAGACUUUGUGCCAGCACCCAGAGCAUUUAUCCACUCAAGUGAACAUUAAUAGACCUCAAUGAACAAUAAUAGGCCAAAGCAUCUCCACCCCUAAAAAAAAUGCGCUAGCACCCAGUCUAAAAAUGCACUAGCACAAACGGCAAAGAGAAGGCCACGUCGCCAUGAUCGGGGUGAUGGAUGAGUGUGCUGACAGCGGGCCCCGCCACCUGCAUUCCUGUCUCCUACUCGCGCCCACUCGCAAGUGAAAGCCACGUGCCAGCCAAAUAGGCCGGUCCCUAGGUCAGUCAAAAAUGGGCUGGUCUAUUGCCUGGCUUGGGCUGGGUGCCAUGCUAGUUUAUGGGCUAGAGUGGAUGCACUGACCCCCAGCCUGGUUUUUUGACUAGGUGCUGGCACAUUUCACCUCCGGUGGAAGUGCUCUAAGUUUCUAAAAGAUAUACCCUUAACUAUAUGCAUAUAACAUGCAUCGCUCCUUGGGAACAAGCUUUUCAUGCGUCCAUAGUACAAACAAAGUGGAAGACGUGGAACAUUAACUUCCAUUCCUUAAUCCUUCUUAUGACGUUAUUUCUGGGUCCGAUCGCAUCACACAUUAUCCACUUGACUCCAAUAACAAAGACAAGGAAUUUUCUUACAUGUAACAAGUUCAUUGAAACUGUACUAUAUUUAAUCAAUAAUAAAGCUUGUUUAUUCUGCUCAACAUAAUAUUACGUUAUCAAACCAAAACACCAAGUUGCACUCCACCGAAGACCUAAACCUUAAUUAAUUACCCACCUACAUAUUAGUUAACUUUAAUUACUAUAAUUAACACUUCGAAACAAAAUUAAUACAAUUAUGCCAUGAUAUCAUAUCUGAUGUGCUUGAGCAGCACCAGAUUCACGAUAUCAGGCGAGCUCAACUGUGGGAGAUAACCGUCUGAAGACAUGACCUCAACGAUCGACUUGCCACCGAGAUUCUGGUGCAAAUACUCGGUCACAACCAUGGGGACAGCAAGGUCUUUUACACUCUGUAAAAUGUGACAUGGCACCGUGAUUAACCUAAGUAUUUGUCUAAUGUCGCUUUGGAAUAUGGUUUGUGCCACGCUGAGGGAAAUGUCCGGUCGCAUGUUGAAUAGGGUCCGGCUAAACUCCUGGAUCGCCACUGAGUCCAUGUCCCUGCCCACCACCAGCGAUGCGAACCCGGAGCACCAUGCCUUGUAGUUGGACUGGAUCGCCUCGAAUAGUUGCUCCACAUCUUCUUGCUCGAAUCCUCCGUAGUAGUCCACGUCGUUGAGAAACCUAUAAAAAUGUUUCAUUUUAAUUGGUCGAAUUGUUAAUAGUGUUUAGGAAGUGUAAUUAAAUAACCUAAAAAUGAUUGAGAAAGAUUGGAGAGUCAACAUACUAGUCAAAAGGUAAUUUUCGAAGAUUUAAUUAAUUAAUUAGAUGGAUGGAUCCACUUUGAACAAACAUGUACUAAUUUAACAAAAUCAAUUACCACAUAAAAAGCACACGAAAAAGGUAAAAUUGGAGAAAAUUAGUAACAAUUGACUUAAUUAGUUAAUCAAAUUGAUGGUUCGAAUAAAAUUUCAAACUAAUCAGUCUCUACUUUGUUGGAUCAAAAAAAUGAAAACCAAUAUCUUAUUGGAAGGCAAAUUUGGGAUGAUAAAAUAAUUGGGUUUCUCCUUCAUCGAGAAUUCCUUACGUUCACAUCCCCACACGUCUCCUCAUCUGUGACGAAUUUUCAGGACAAACACGUGCACAACACAAAUAGGAUGACGUGAAACAUGUGACGUGGAGCAUGUGUGGUUAUUGAGUUUCACUGAUAUGGACUCUUUUACUUUCAUAUGAUCACACAUCUCACGUGUGAGAAAUUUUUAAGUCAAACAAGUAGACAACAUUUAUUGGGUGUCGUAGAGCACGUGAACCCUUUGGGCUUCACAUGUCGAUCAACCUGCUUUGAUUCAACAAAGUUGAGGUUACACAUGUCCUUGCAAGGUUGUAAGACUUUUUAACUUCAUAUCUCACAAUUAGUUCCUAAUUAAUGUUGAGAAUGAGUCUCACAUUGAUAAGAUGAUGGACCUUACAUGUGCUUAUAAGUAAAUUUAGCUACUCCUCAUGUUGCAAAUUGGAAUUAUGGUAGAACCUCAACUUUUUUCAUGGUAUCAGAAUAGGUUGUCCCAAGUGUGAAACCAAACGACCACACAUGCUUCACGUUACCCUCUUAUGCCCACGUCACUUGAGCUUUGUUGUCCACAUUGCAUGUGCUUAUAAGUAAGUUAGGCUACUCCUCAUAUUGCCAAUUGAUUUUAUGGUAAAACCUCAACUUUUCUUUAAUUAAAAUAUUAUUUUGGUUCCAAUCUCUAAUAAACUUAAUUGUUAGACUGAAAACAACGUUUAAAUAUUUUGAUUGAUGUUCUUAAUUUCAUUUAAGAGAUUUAACUCAUGCAUUUAAUGUCCCACAAAUUAUAAAAUUUAAAUAAUAUUUUUAAAAUAUAAUAAAUACUUAAAAAUUAAUUUUAGAAUAAUCUUGUUCUUCACAAAAAUUAUAGGAAAAAAAAUAUUGAUGUACCAACAUAAUUUUUAACAUAUUUUAAAAAAAUAACUAUUAAUAUAUUUUAAAACAUAAAAUAAAUACAUAUAAUUAGCAUGGGUACAUUUAGCAAAAUUAAAAAUAAGUACAAAUAAAUUAAAAAUAUAUAAGUACAAAUACAAAUAAAAGUUAAAAAAAUAUAAGUACAGAAAAGAAUUAAUAUAUGAAUACAAAUUAAAACUGAAAAUAAAAUUGGUACAAAUUAGGAAAAGGUUACAAAAUAAAAAUGAGUACAAACUAAAAUUAAAAAUACAUGAUAAAAAAUUUAGUUAUAAACAUAAAUAUACCAAGUAUAACUUUUCUAACACCAUCUCCAAACCUUGGUUAAAAGCCAAAUUACCCCCCAAAUUACCCCCAAACACUCUCCAACCAUGUUAAAAUUUUAGGCUAAAUACCAAAUGUUAUUUCUGAGUCAAAUACCCCCAACUUUCCCCGGGCUAAAUGUCAAAUGUUUAUCGGAAUUUAAAUUUUUUUAGAUUAAAAUGUUCAUAAAAUUAAUUUACAAUAAUCUACAUAUUUAUUUAUUUUUUUUAAAUUGAUUUAAGAAAAAAAUUAGCCUAAGUUCAUUCUUUAAUAAUUCCGGAUUAAAAUUUUAGGGCAGAAAGGUUGGAGUAGAAAAGAUGUUUCUGGACUAAAAGCCAAAUUUUCCGGGUUAAAAAAUUUGGCUUUUAGCCUAAGAGAUUGUCUAAUGCUAUAUAAAUAUAUUUAGAAAUAAAAAAAUAUUUUAUUAUUAAAAUAAUUAAUUAUGUUUAUCAAAAUUUAAGGACCUUGACCAAAUUUGCAAAAGAACAAGAUUUAAUCAAGAGGAAAAAUUGGGAUAAGAAUCUAAUUUUUCUUAAUUAAAUAGAUUAAUUGGACGACGAUGGAAUUUUACCUGGGAGAGGCGGCGAUCAUGAUGAGCUUGGUGAAGAGGUCGGGACGGGUGACAGCGGCGAUGGCGCCGAUCAUGGCGGACAUGGAGUGGUCGACGAAAAUGCAUGACUGGACGUGGAGCACCUCGAGAAUGGCGAGGAGGUCGUAGGCGUAGCCUUCGAGGGUGGAGUAGCGCUCGAAGUCGAAGUAUUCGGGGUUAGUGGUUCCGGCGCCCAUGUUGUCGUACAAAAUGACGCGGUAGUCGUCGACGAGGUGGGGGACGAGGUGUUUCCAGACCGACUGAUCGGUGCCGAAGCCGUGGCCCAGGACUAGGACUUGCUGACCCGACCCU
rnacentral:lncRNA from 1 species